rnacentral:rRNA from 1 species
UACAGAGGGAGCGAGCGUUCUCCGGAAUGAUUGGGCGUAAAGCGUCUGGAGGUGGUUUAGAAAGUCUACUGUCAAAUACCAAGGCUCAACCUUGGGCAGGCAGUAGAGUACUUUUAGACUAGAGUGUGGUAGAGGUAGAGGGAAUCCCUAGCGUAACAGUGAAAUGUGUAGAUUUUAGGGAGAACACCAGCGGCAAAGGCGCUCUACUGGGCCAAGACUGACACUGAGAGACGAAAGCUAGGGGAGCGAAUAGG